GGAUAGCUCAAUUGGUUAAGAGUGUGGGGCUGAUAACACCAAGACUGCAGGUUCGAUCCCCAUAUGGGACA
rnacentral:tRNA from 1 species